rnacentral:misc_RNA from 1 species
GAUGAAGAACGUAGCGAAAUGCGAUACGUAAUGUGAAUUGCAGAAUUCAGUGACUCAUCGAGUCUUUGAACGCACAUUGCGCCCCCUGGUAUUCCGGGGGGCAUGCCUGUCCGAGCGUCAUUGCUGCCCUCAAGCACGGCUUGUGUGUUGGGCCUCCGUCCUCCUCCCGGGGGACGGGCCCGAAAGGCAGCGGCGGCACCGCGUCCGGUCCUCGAGCGUAUGGGGCUUCGUCACCCGCUCUUGUAGGCCCGGCCGGCGCUUGCCGACACAUCAAUCUUUUUUCCAGGUUGACCUCGGAUCAGGUAGGGAUACCCGCUGAACUUAAGCAUAUCAAUAAGCGGAGGA